AGGAGCCGAGGCUCCCGCUGGCUGACUAUCCCAGGAAACGAGAUGUGUGCCAUCGUGCUCCGUGCGUGCCUGUUCAUCUGACAGCUGCUGAGCCCCUUGGAUGGUCUCAGCCGUGUGUGACAGCAGAGCUGUCACUGACGCUGACGGGACAUGUUCCUGCACGGAGAUGUUCCUGCGCGUCCUGUGAAACGUGCAGCCAGGCAGGAGCAGGUGACGGUGAGCAUCACCGCGGAGGGACAAGCCGGCAUGCACACACCCCUGGGACAUGCAGGAAUGAGUCCUUACGUGCGUGUGGCCCGCUCAUGGGCGAAAGCUUUGGCAGACAGUGACAACUUAGAUGUCAAACUUGGGUGAACCAGGAGACAUAAAUCCUGGUAUUUGGGAUUAGUGCAGGUAAUUUGUUUUAAAGACGGUCAAAUCCCUUUCCUGUAGGUGCUUGCUUGUCACAGGAGAUGUUCCUCAUCUCCAGGAGAGCUACUCCAGUUGAACAGAUCCAGCCCUCUCUGGGGAGACGGUCUCUGGAGUCGCUAAUCACUAGGCUUUGGGUUUGUUUUUUUUCCCUAACACUUUUGUGGGUGAUAGUUUCCUCCUCCUCCCUUUUGUCUUUCUGCAACAUCACAGGGUUGGGAAGGACCAUCUGCUGAUUUGAUUAAUGGCCCUUUUCUGAAAAAGCAACAGAGACAAAUGUCCUCCUGAACAUGGCAAAGAGAAAUGGAGAAACAGGCUGGCUAAUUUUCAGCUAUUAUUUUGGAGCCCAAACUCCUUCCCAGUAUCAAUUUAGCUAUUAUUUCAAAAACUAAUUAAUCUUCACUCAGGCAGCUCCAAGGGACCUGUGUUUAGAUAAUUAACAGCCCAUGGAUUAUGAAAAGUCUUGCUUUUGGAUCCUACCACAGUGCUUGCCUUCAAGAACACUCUUGCUAUCGUCCUGCUUACCAACUCCUUUCAUCAAUCCAUCUUUUUUUGACAAUUUAAGAGCAAAUAAUUAGCCAUGAUGGAUUUUUUUUGCUUGCUUUCUUGCAGGUCAGUUCCAUUUUUGUGGUCCUUAAAUGUUCUUCAGCCGGGCAAUUUUUUGUGGUGGUUUUGCAGCUAAUUACGGCCAAGCAGGGCAAAUCACUGCUGUUACCAGGAGGAUCUGGAGAUUUGGCUUAUGGAGAAGCUGGGCAAUAAGGUAGGAGAAAGGAGAUCCUAGAAGGAUAGGUGAUGGGACUUUUUCUUUUUUCUUUUCCCCUCUCCAGUCUUGCACGACGCAACGUGACCUUACCCCCCGUAUUGCUGUGCCGGGGCUGGGCUGACCUCCCUCCCCAGGAUGUCUCAUCCCGGCCGCUCGCUCGCUGCCACGGCUUUGAUCCUCUUGCCGCGCUGGAUGGCGAGACGUCCCCGAGCUGUCGGGGCUGUGGGAGAGCUCUGCGCAGCAAAGCGGAGGCGAUGGGGUGGCAUAGACCCGGAGGCAGCGGUGGAGCAGGUCUGCAUCCCGUGCAGCUCCCAUCCGUGCCCCACAUCCUCGCUGGGCGCGGGGAAGCGAAUGUGGGCUGGCGGCGCUUAGCGGAGCGAUGCCGUGCUUAAUGAAUUCCAACGGCAGCCACAGAUGACAGCACUCUGCUCGCCGCAUCUACUGAGCGCUGCAGUUCUUCAUUAAGCAACCGGGAGUUUGCUUGCUCUUCUGCUGAGGGCGAAGGAGCCGGAGCGGCGAGGAGCUCGGCCUUUCAACUCUUUUUGUCAAUGAUAUGAUUUGGAGGUUUUCUCUUCUUCAUCUUAACUUGGGACCAAACUCCACUUGGUCUGAGGUUGGCUCUACCUGGCUGAGGGCUUAGGAGAGCACCAAGGACGUAGUGUGGCUUGGGCUGGGGACCCUGCCACAGGGAGGGGGAAACCUGGAAGCCAAGCUGCUCUGUCUCCUAAGGUUGUUCUGGUUAGAUCUGGCCGAGUCUGCGGCACACCCAUUGCUCUGGGUAAGCAGCGCUGCAGAGGCAGCUCCUGAGCACCCUGAAGGAAACGAUGAAACGUUCCCUCUGCUUGAACGACCGAGAGGGAAAAGGUGCGCAGGAAGGAGAUGCCGGUAAUUCCCUGCGAUGUUAAAUGGGAAGCGGGGAGCCGACUAACUGGUGCCAGUGCGGGCAGUACGAGGGUGGAAUGGACUCGGGGGCAGAGGACAGAGACAGGAGAUCAAUCCUUGCAAUCCUUCCCAUCCUUGCAAGUUGAGCAAACGCUUUGGGGGCACUGGAGGACACACUCCAACUCAGGAAGCUUUUCCAUCAGAUGUACCUGGGGUUUUAGCUCCUUCAGCAUUAGUGAUUUCUUAAAUAUAGAUUUGACUUGCAAGUUUGCGAAUGUAUAAAGCAGCUGACGUUUCCCUCUCCUACCAGGACUUUGAGCUGUGUUUCCUGGGAUCCCGAGCUAUUGAUGGACCAUUCUUCAUACCCAGCUCACCUUGUGAAACCUCAUGCCGUGCCCAUGCCAGCACGGGGAGAUUUCCAACCAAACCUCCCCAUCUUCAGCAUUUGGAGGUGUCUGGGAAAACAGGGGUUGGAAGUAAAGGAACGGCACCUCCGGGCUGGUGGAGCUGCGAGGCUUUCACCCAUGGCUUGGGGAGCACCCUGCAUCCUGCAGCAACGGCCCCUGGAGCGGGACAUCGGCACCAGAUGGGAGGCCAGAGCAAGAAGGGCAGCCGUUCUGGGCUGCGCUGGAGGUCCAUGGGCUCAGCGCCCAGCCAUGAUGUGUACGAACAGCAUAAGGGCAUCACAGGGAACCUCCAGAGCCUCCUCUCUGCUUGCCACCAUUUGCAUUUGAGGAUAUCCCAGUUCUUACACCGUGUCCCUAUAUUUAGAGCCUCCUCCAGGAUCCUGGGAUCCUGCCGGCCUGUCAGCUCUGUGCCACCUGUAACCUGUCCUCUACGGGGUCAGCCACGUGUUGCCUUGGUGGGCACUUGGGUUGGCCAACAGCGACCAGAGCUCUGCUGCUCCCAUCUAAGCACACGCGUGUUAACACAUGUAAAGUGAACGGACCCUCUGUCUGAGGUGGGUUUUGUUUGAAAUGUUCCUCUGGUGAGGAUUAACUCCUGACACGGCUGUUUGUUAUGGGAAGAGCCUGCGUUUUCCAGGGAGAUGUUGCGUUUAACUGGGAACAUGAAGCUUUCUCCAGCCUUGGAUCCCCCACAUCACUGAUUGACCAUGUCGAGGUUCUUAUGCCUUGAUAAGACUUAUCCUGGAUUAUUAUUUAGCUACUAAUUAAGCUUGAGAGUGAUGUAAAGGCCUUAAACUGCUGUUUGAAGAUUGAGUGGAUGAUUUCUGCUCUUGUCAAAGAAGGAAGGAUUUGGAGACUCAUCGCAGCGCUGAGCGACAGCUCAGACAUCGCAUUAAUCGCCGCUGACGAUGGCUGCGCGGUGUCUGGCGGAGCUGUGACGCCAAGGUCCUGACUGCUGGCGCUUCCCCAGCCGGGGAUAUUUUGCAGACGAGCGGUGCUGCUCCCCAAAAACUCCAGCCAAAAACGGGGAAGAAACUGCGUUCCCCUUGGGGUCGAACCCCAUGGAAAAUGCUUUUUCUCCAUGCCAGCCUCUUGCUCCUGCCCGCAGGGCACGCGGGGAUUAUGGUUAGCCCUUGUGAACCUGCAUCUUUUUAAAAUACACUCUUUCCUUCUCCGUGCUCGCCAGGAUCAAGGGCGGCUCCGUGGAGGGCUGGUGGGUUUGGCUGCUGCUGCUGCUGCAUUGAUUUGGCAAAGGCUGGGGAUGAAAGCCCCGUGGCCUCCAGCUGAGACUAGAGGUUUUUAGGCUUGAGCUUUCCCAAAUUCUGUCCGUCACGAAGCGAACAAACACCACCGGCCAGGAGCAGCUUGAAGCUGGAGACAGCUGGCACAGGGGUUGAGCAUCGAUCGCUGGCUGCUGGGCGAGACCUGACCAAAACCCCGCUGGGGUCAGGAGGCAACUCCAUCCCUCCCGGCUUCCGAACAUCGGGCUGGGAAGAAAAGCCAGCCUGCUUCGAAAGCAAUCGUUUGACAUGGUGCCCCCGCCAGUAACAACCCCGAGCAGAAACCCUGGUGGACCUCAGCGCAUUUUGGUUUUAAUCUGCCGUGGGUUUGUAGUGCUCUGAAGACGGCAUCGUCCUUCGCUGCCUGGGGAGGUGAGGAAGAGGAGGGGAGGUUAAACUCCUGUCCCUCACCCUCCGCUGCUCCCCUCGCCACUGCCUUGUCUCUCCAGAAGCUGUAUUCGAGUACAAUUCACUUUGUUAUUAAUUUCUUUUACACCGAGGCUUUUAAAGUGCCUGGGAACGGGGGCUCGUGUCACAGAGACACUUUACAGCCCGGCAGCUGUAAUGCUGAAGUGCUGUUUAAAUAGCCGGCUCAUCUAAGAGUAACAGGCGAAGGGCUGAGAGCUUGCCAGAGCAGCGAAGUGGUGUGUGCCCGUUUGAACAGGCUCUAUGGAAAUGAUUCUGGAGAGCAGGGCUUCUUCCCCAGCGGCUGCCCCGGCACCAUCGGGGAUGGGAUCACAUCGCCCUUGCACCCCCUUGGAGCUCUGCUGCCCUGGGUGCACCCCGGGGGUGGGCCAGCUCGCCGACACGGGCAGAUCGCAGCUGGGUGGCCAUGGCCCAUGGGUGUCCUGUCCCCAGGUGACCUGUCUUAAUGAGACUAGGUUCCUCAAUGGCCCUGCCCGCUGGAGGAGCAGUCUGCACCCCUGCGGUGGUCCGUCCUUGGCCGCGUGGGUCCCCCAUGCCUGCAUUCCUCAGGGGAGCCCCCCCCAGUGUGUUGGAGCUGCAAGGCCACGUCCCGAGCUGGAGAAAGGCCAGCGAAGGGGCCAGCAGGCUGGGCAGCCCUUGGGUGGGGAUGCUGAGGGUACCCCGAGGUGCCACCGUCACCCCCCAGCCUGUCCUGCCGUGCCCCGUGGUGGCUCUGGGGAAACGGGUGUGCUGGGACCCCUGACAUGGGUCUUAUUUGCCUCUGAUCUGGCAGC